GAGGAUAAUGAAAUUGUCAUUUAGGAGGGUGAGGAGGGAAUAAACUUGGGAAAUGGUUGAAUUUGGAGUGAGGUCAAUCCACUGGGUGUUUUUCUGACACACUCAUCUGUGUAGGCACAGAUGCAGAAAAGGCACUGGCAUUGAAGUUUUGCGGUCAAAAUGUAACAAAAACAAGAGGGAGGCUAAGAAGCUGAGGGUGGAUCUCAUCUUACAGUGUUACAACAACAGUGUAAGCUGAGGGUGAAUCUAAGGGAGUGAUUAUGACCGACCAUGAAAUUUCAGCUGGGCAAGCAGAGAACCCAGAUGAGAGAGAGGACAGGGAAAGUUGGUUACAGAUGCCAGUGGCUCAAAGAAUUUUCGGGAUUUGAGUACUAGAAGGGUUGAACUGGACAAACAGGCAUUGGCCAAAGAAUGAAAGACUUCACAUCGAGCUUGUGGAGGAGCUGCAUGGUCAGCACCGACGAGGUCAGAGGAGGCCUAGGGAGGCUGUGUGUCUGAUUUCAGAUGGAGGACAAGGUGACGAGAGAAGUUGAGGUCAUGGAAUUGGGAAGUCGGAGAGUUGGGAGUACCACCCCUGUGCACGCUGAGAUCUUCCAGAAUUGCAAACUGAAGAUUUGAGAAAUGAGAGAGAGAGAGAGAAAUGGAUGUCAGUAGCUGACAGCAGAAGGGGAAAUAGUGCAUGGUGUAGGCUGAUGGGUUGAAAUGGAAAGUUGGAGGGCUUUAGAAGGAGAAAGGGAAAAUGUUUUACUUACAACACUGUAGAGCAAUGCUUUGUGGUACUGGGAUUGCAGACACAAAAACAUUUGAGGGUGCUGCAGGCGAAGUAGUGUCCUCAGGGACACGCCUGUUUCAGUUAGGGAAGAAUGUAAGAAAAACAUUGAGAAAGCAGAUUGCAGUCAUAGGGCAGUUACUGCUGAUUGCCCAUGAGUUCCCCAAGCAUGGGGGAAGGGUCUCAGGGUUUGGGGCAGCUGGAAUAUGUGGUAGGAAAAAGGAUACACAGAGUGGAUGUGGAGCUUGGGGCUCAGCCUGGAGAGAUGGAACAGGAGUCAGGCAUUCUUUGGUGACUGUCGUGAACAGGGCAUAUCAGUCAGGGACGUUUAUAUCCUGAUUAUUCAUGACAAGACCUACUGGCCUCUAGGCAGAUGGUGGCAAUGAGGCUCCCGAGAGGAAGCAGAGAGCUCUUGUCCCAGCAUUCCUGCCAGCGGUGGGGGCAACUGCUCCAGGAGCUGGUGAAACUCUUGGGAUCUCACUGGAUGCUUGAGGCAACUGUUAUCACUUGAUAAAAUAAAAUGUUUAUAUUAAUGUCUGUUACAAGCAUCCUUGGACAAAUCAUUUUUGUUUCUCUAACUUAGCUUUUUGUAGACAAGGGAGAGUGAAGCUCAAUCAUCUCUUAGAAUAUUUGUAAAUAAAUAGGUUGCCAAGUAAGUUGCAAAUAUUGUGCUAUACUAAAAUUCCUCUGAUUUUAAAUGCUGUUUAUAUUCCAGCUUUACAUAGUGGCAACAAAAUAGACAGUAAAGUAAGCGUAAUACUCACUUAGAAAGUGAGUUGAUAAAACCUACAAAAAUGCUGGUUAAUUACUAAUUCAUUACUGUAUGGCAGAGACCCACAGCAGACCUCUAAUUUCUUUGUAUGUGGUUCCUUUCUGUUUUCGUUGAUCUUUAGUAGGUAUCUUGAUUUUUUAGAUUUGGAUUAAAAAUUAAACACUAUGUAUCACUGCCUUCCCAAAAUAAAAA
rnacentral:lncRNA from 1 species